UAGGGAAUCUUCCGCAAUGGGCGAAAGCCUGACGGAGCAACGCCGCGUGAGUGAUGAAGGUCUUCGGAUCGUAAAACUCUGUUAUUAGGGAAGAACAAAUGUGUAAGUAACUAUGCACGUCUUGACGGUACCUAAUCAGAAAGCCACGGCUAACUACGUGCCAGCAGCCGCGGUAAUACGUAGGUGGCAAGCGUUAUCCGGAAUUAUUGGGCGUAAAGCGCGCGUAGGCGGUUUUUUAAGUCUGAUGUGAAAGCCCACGGCUCAACCGUGGAGGGUCAUUGGAAACUGGAAAAAUUGAGUGCAGAAGAGGAAAGUGGAAUUCCAUGUGUAGCGGUGAAAUGCGCAGAGAUAUGGAGGAACACCAGUGGCGAAGGCGAAUUUCUGGUCUGAACCAGACGCUGAUGUGCGACAGCGUGGGGAUCAAACAGG
rnacentral:rRNA from 1 species